rnacentral:rRNA from 1 species
GCUAGCGUUGUCCGGAAUCCUUGGGCGUAAAGAGCGUGUAGGCGGCCCGGUAAGUCCGCUGUGAAAGUCGGGGGCUCAACCCUCGAAUGCCGGUGGAUACUGUCGGGCUAGAGUGCGGAAGAGGCGAGUGGAAUUCCUGGUGUAGCGGUGAAAUGCGCAGAUAUCAGGAGGAACACCAAUUGCGAAGGCAGCUCGCUGGGACGUAACUGACGCUGAGACGCGAAAGCGUGGGGAGCAAACAGG